rnacentral:rRNA from 1 species
UACGUAGGGUGCAAGCGUUAAUCGGAAUUACUGGGCGUAAAGCGUGCGCAGGCGGUUGUGCAAGACAGAUGUGAAAUCCCCGGGCUCAACCUGGGAAUUGCAUUUGUGACUGCACGGCUAGAGUGUGUCAGAGGGGGGUAGAAUUCCACGUGUAGCAGUGAAAUGCGUAGAGAUGUGGAGGAAUGACCGAUGGCGAAGGCAGCCCCCCUGGGAUAACACUGACGCUCA